rnacentral:rRNA from 1 species
CUACGUGCCAGCAGCCGCGGUAAUACGUAGGGCGCGAGCGUUGUCCGGAAUUAUUGGGCGUAAAGAGCUUGUAGGCGGUUUGUCGCGUCUGCUGUGAAAGGCCGGAGCUUAACUCCGUGUAUUGCAGUGGGUACGGGCAGACUAGAGUGCAGUAGGGGAGACUGGAAUUCCUGGUGUAGCGGUGGAAUGCGCAGAUAUCAGGAGGAACACCGAUGGCGAAGGCAGGUCUCUGGGCUGUAACUGACGCUGAGAAGCGAAAGCAUGGGGAGCGAACAGGAUUAGAUACCCUGGUAGUCCAUGCCGUAAACGUUGGGCACUAGGUGUGGGGGACAUUCCACGUUUUCCGCGCCGUAGCUAACGCAUUAAGUGCCCCGCCUGGGGAGUACGGCCGCAAGGCUAAAACUCAAAGAAAUUGACGGGGGCCCGCACAAGCGGCGGAGCAUGCGGAUUAAUUCGACGCAACGCGAGGAACCUUACCAGAUCUUGACA